AGUUAUAGUGGUAAUGAAUCUUCUGGAGACAUUGGGUCCUUUGUCCGCAGGAAGCAAUAUGUUGGAUUAACAGAGAACUUUGAAAUAGAGAUAUUAAGUUUGGAUAAACGUGGAUCUAUAGCAAUCGGAGUAGUACCAAAAAAUAAUCCAGAAAGAGGUCUACCGGGAUAUGUUACGAACUCUAUAGGAUAUCAUUCCGAUGGCAAAUUAUACGAAAAAGGAAAAUUUAUCAGAUCAAUACGAGCAUGGCAAGCAGGCGAUCGUGUAAGAUGUCGCAGAUUUGUUGA